rnacentral:rRNA from 1 species
AUUGAACGCUGGCGGCAGGCCUAACACAUGCAAGUCGAACGAGUGGCGGACGGGUGAGUAAUGUCUGGGAAACUGCCUGAUGGAGGGGGAUAAAUACUGGCAACGGUAGCUAAUCCCGCAUACCAUCAGAUGUGCCCAGAUGGGAUUAGCUAGUUGGUGGGGUAACGGCUCACCAAGGCGACGCUCCCUAGCUGGGAUGCGAGGAUGACCAGCCACGCUGGAACGGAGACACGGUCCAGACUCCUACGGGAGGCAGCAGUGGGGAAUAUUGGACAAUGGGCGAAAGCCUGAUCCAGCCAGGCCGCGUGUGUUAAGGAGGUCUUCGGAUUGUAAAGCACUUUAAGUUGGGAGGCGUUACCAACAGAAUAAGCACCGGCUAACUUCGUGCCAGCAGCCGCGGUAAUUC